AGCUGGGUUCAGAACGUCGCGAGACAGUUCGGUCCCUAUCUGUGGUGGGCGUAGGAGAUUUGAGGGGGCUUGCCCUUAGUACGAGAGGACCGGGGUGAACGAACCUCUUGUGUUCCAGUUGUCACACAGUGGCAUAGCUGGGUAGCGAAGUUCGGUCAGGAUAAACGCUGAAUGCAUAUAAGCGUGAAACCUUCCCCAAGAUGAGAUCUCCCAACGUAAGUAUGAAGAGCACUGGAAGACUACCAGUUUGAUAGGACGGAUGUGUAAGCGCAGCAAUGCGUUGAGCUAACCGUUACUAAUUGCUCGUUCGGCUUAACCAU
rnacentral:rRNA from 1 species